UACGGAGGGUGCGAGCGUUGUCCGGAAUCACUGGGCGUAAAGGGCGCGUAGGUGGCACGGUCAGCGUGUGGUGAAAGCCUGGGGCUCAACCCCGGGUCGGCCAUGCGAACUGCCGGGCUUGAGCACUGUAGAGGCAGACGGAAUUCCGGGUGUAGCGGUGGAAUGCGUAGAGAUCCGGAAGAACACCGGUGGCGAAGGCGGUCUGCUGGGCAGUUGCUGACACUGAGGCGCGACAGCGUGGGGAGCAAAC
rnacentral:rRNA from 1 species